UUCUAUGACGUUAGCGGCGGACGGGUGAGUAACACGUGGGCAACCUGCCUGUAAGACUGGGAUAACUUCGGGAAACCGAAGCUAAUACCGGAUAGGAUCUUCUCCUUCAUGGGAGAUGAUUGAAAGAUGGUUUCGGCUAUCACUUACAGAUGGGCCCGCGGUGCAUUAGCUAGUUGGUGAGGUAACGGCUCACCAAGGCAACGAUGCAUAGCCGACCUGAGAGGGUGAUCGGCCACACUGGGACUGAGACACGGCCCAGACUCCUACGGGAGGCAGCAGUAGGGAAUCUUCCGCAAUGGACGAAAGUCUGACGGAGCAACGCCGCGUGAGUGAUGAAGGCUUUCGGGUCGUAAAACUCUGUUGUUAGGGAAGAACAAGUACGAGAGUAACUGCUCGUACCUUGACGGUACCUAACCAGAAAGCCACGGCUAACUACGUGCCAGCAGCCGCGGUAAUACGUAGGUGGCAAGCGUUAUCCGGAAUUAUUGGGCGUAAAGCGCGCGCAGGCGGUUUCUUAAGUCUGAUGUGAAAGCCCACGGCUCAACCGUGG
rnacentral:rRNA from 1 species